rnacentral:snRNA from 1 species
GGAUGUGAGGGCGAUCUGGCUGCGACAUCUGUCACCCCAUUGAUCGCCAGGGUUGAUUCGGCUGAUCUGGCUGGCUAGGCGGGUGUCCCCUUCCUCCCUCACCGCUCCAUGUGCGUCCCUCCCGAAGCUGCGCGCUCGGUCGAAGAGGACGACCUUCCCCGAUAGAGGAGGACCGUUCUUCGGUCAAAGGUAUACGAGUAGCUGCGCUCCCCUGCUAGAACCUCCAAACAAGCUCUCAAGGUCCAUUUGUAGGAGAACGUAGGGUAGUCAAGCUUCCAAGACUCCAGACACAUCCAAAUGAGGCGCUGCACGUGGCAGUCUGCCUUUCUUU